UACCAGCACCCCAAGUGGUCGGGACGUUUAUUGGGCCUAAAGCAUCCGUAGCCGGUUCUACAAGUCUUCCGUUAAAUCCAGCUGCUUAACAGAUGGGCUGCGGAAGAUACUAUGGAGCUAGGAGGCGGGAGAGGCAAGCGGUACUCGAUGGGUAGGGGUAAAAUCCGUUGAUCCAUUGAAGACCACCAGUGGCGAAGGCGGCUUGCCAGAACGCGCUCGACGGUGAGGGAUGAAAGCUGGGGGAGCAAACCGG
rnacentral:rRNA from 1 species